UGACCGUGCAGCUUCUCAGACCUGUGUGGUUCCAACAACUGUUAAAGACCUCUAUGACAUUGUAGCUGUUCCCCAUAACAGCUUGGCAAGUCAGAAUGCUAUGUUAGCUUUGAUGCAGCAGAAAUUAAUGAUGCUCAGGUAAUGCAAAUUGGCACUCAUAGGUAGUGAUGCCUAUUACAGUGUAAACAGUGGUACCCUCCACCUCUGUGUUCAAUGAGGGGUGAAUAAAUGCUUCUAGGUACAUAAUAGAAUUUUUAUCUGUCACUUCCUGUCACUGGAGUUUUCCUGAGCAGCAAUGCUGGAAAAUCUUUACAGUGGAAUCACACCUCCACAAGUUACUUUUGGCUGUGACCACUGCAGAGCUGUGCACCAUCUGUCAUGAAGGCAGCAGCGAGGAGCAUUGGAAUAGCAGCCCAGACUCAUAUGGGAAACACUGGCAUUGGCUACAUAACAGAGCAACUGGGAGCUUCAUGAGGCAGGUGACAGCUUCCUAUUGUAACCUCCUGAGAAUGACAGCAGAGCCAUUGCACAAAACAGAUCUGGGCUCUCAAGUAGUUGAAACGGCAACACAAUGAGAAAGAAGUUGUGGCAGGCAAUUCUCCACACUUGUUCAUAUAAGUACCCUAUAUCUGCUCUUGCUAGCAAGAGCAGAGCCUAUGCCCUGAAGUGUUUUUUCUCCCCAGUCUCUUAUACCCUUUCAUUAACAAACAUGACAACGUGGACAAAAAAGUAUUUUGGCACAGAGCACAUUUGUGAGAGACAGCAGCACUCUUGAAUGCUCUUUUUAUUAAUAGAAUAUGGGAGAAAACAGGUGUGCAUAAAAAAAAUACACAUGAAAGGUUUGUGGUAGCUUCAAGCUCUAUCUACUCAAAAAUCAAAGAAAAUAAACUGUGAAUUUACAGCUAAUGUCUCCAUUUAGUAUCGUUUAGAAAGCUGAGAUUGAAUCUCACGUGCUGUGUUGUAUGUAUGUCAGACUUCAUUAUCUAUGCAACGGGAAAUUAGCAGCAGUUACUUAGUGCCCAGCAGGAUAUUUGGCAGCUGUUUGAAUCAGAAGCUGAUCGUCAAGUUUAGAGAGUUGACUAGAAAAGAGAGAAGACUAGAAAAAUCCUUUAGGGCUACAAUGCAAGCAAAAAGGCUUAGCUCAGAGCCUUGUGAAAUCAGAGAGAAACAUUCAAUUAAUUUCAUAGUGAGUUGUGUAGACCUUUAGUAAAGAUUCAUAUGAUCUGAGUAGGAACUAACUAGGAGAGUGAAAUGGCUAUAAACUCUAUAGGAUUGGACAAAAGUCUUCUUUCAACAAAGAAAGUAAUCAGCUGGAGAGACUCUGGAGUUUUCUAGGAGUUGGAGGAACAGCUGGAAUCCUCCCAAGAUUCACCGGAGGAUGGUCACUUUACACAUAGGCUUGAUUUUAUAAAGCUUCUUUUAGUGAAAGAUAAAAAAAUGUACUGGCCAGUCAUAGAUAAUUGUCAAGGUUUUAUCUAUAGUCAGGAGCAGCCAUAAGGCAAUUCAAUCCCUCUAUUUUCCACUAACAACCAAAGAAGACAAGAUGGCUGUCUUAUGCUGCAAGUCUUAAAGGACUAAGUUUAUGUACAAAGAAUGAAACUAUCAGUUGCUAUUAAGCAGUGGUGCUUGAAAGACAGUUUUGAAGAACUCAAAAGAUAAUCCAGGAUCUACUUCUUGGAACCUGUUGAGCAUUGUCUUUUUACAGAUUGAGUUGUGAUUUUGUAAUUGUAUCUCUUUCAGAGAACCGUUUACUUAAAAGAACAAAAUUACAUUCAAUUGCACUUUUAUUAGAUAAAAGGAAAACCAUUUUCUGCAAAAGUGGCUAUUUAGAAAACACUGACAUUGUAAUUGUCUGUUUAUCCUGCUGGACAGAGCUUGAUCAGAUGGAAACUUCCUAAUGCAAAUAACAAUGACGAGAAGUGUUGACAUUUCAAUCCAGAUAAUCCUCAUAAUUUGUCUCUACUGCUCUGAGAAGGCAUAGUAGGGAAAAAAGAGAUCUUAUAAAUGUAAAGCAAGGCCUUAGGCUGGGCAUUUGGAGUGAGGGUGGUGGAAAUUACCUAUACAAAGUGGUAAGAAAUCCAAGAGAUUUCUUCAGGAAGUGUCAGCAUUGGACAUUUUUGAAAAUCACAUAUUAUUGGCAGCUGAUCUUAACUUUGGACAGAUGGAUGGUUCUUUAAGGAUCAGAAUCUUCCAUCAGAAAGGAGCACUUUGAACUCAGGAUAGUGACCAAGAGUAAAGAUGUAUAGCCUUGAUUUAUUUUUCAGCUCUCAGACAAACGCGUAUUAGACAAUUGAGUACAAAGAUAAACCAUUAUGAUGUAUUACACAGAGCACUUACAUUAUAUCUAGAAUUAAGCAGUGAUAAAUCUUGGAUAAAAUAAGAUUUACCUUGAUGUAGUUUGAGAGUUCUCUACCAUUCUGGGCAGAUGGUUACCUUGCAAGCCUCUGCUCAACCAGCUCCACUUAUCAAUUAUAUCUCAACACUUUUUUAAUAGUAAUAACUGGUUUUAAAUGUCACAGGCCCAGGCAAAAAAUGGGUUUGAUAUUUUCUUGCUUAGACACCAAGACAACAAUAAAAAAACACUUAUCUUGGCCAAAAAUUAUGUUAUCAAAAAUGGUAUAUUCAUUGAGAGAUAUUUGAUACUUCUUUCACAUGUUCUUCUAAGUAUUUUCUUGCAUUUAUUUAUGGUCUUGAAUAUGCAGGACACAUUGCAACAUCUUGCUGUUAAAAGGCCCAUUAACAGACAUCAUUGCAAGGAGAAAAAAAUAACUGUAAUAACUGUGUCAUGUUUAAAGACCUUUACUAAUUUACAUGAAUUGCCAAGAAAAUGGAAAAUAUUAUUUAAAGUAAAAAUGAAACAGUGAUGUAGUGGUUAAUAGUUAAAUUAUGUUAAAAAUUGUAUGAAGUUGAAUGCCUCAUAAGGCUAAAUGGCUAAAUUUAAGCUACUAAGUGGUUAAAAUACUAAUAUCAAGUAAAAAAGUCUGCUGUAAUGAAGGAGGGCAAAGGUUAGGAAUUAAAAAUAAUCUCAUAAAAUAGAAGCUGUUUCUACAUGAUAUGAUGAUAUAAGGCUCUGUGAGCUAUAAGGUGCUCUGAUAAUCCUUGAGGAGUGAUUCCACUUAAUCCUACUUUAUGCCACUUCAUUUAUAUAUUUUCUUGCUUCACCUGCUUGUGGCAAACAUUAAUAGUGAUAAAAAAACUAUAUUUGUGAUGCAGUCCAUCAUGAUCAGAAAAAAUAACACUUUUAAUAGACUUCUGUGAUUCAAAUGACUUCUAGCAGAUAGUACACUUACAGUUUUUCCAACCUGAACUGUACCAUAUACUACACUUCUAAAAUUCAAAGGUGCUGCAGUAUCUCUUCCUUACACCUAUUUUAAAAGAUACAGUCACUGGAAUGAUAAGGCUCAUUUAAGGAUAACAUCCGCCAAGAGAAGUAAAAAUGCUAUCUAAAUCAAAACUUCUGAAUUCUGAGGACAGAACUUGACACAAAGAAAGAAAAUUUUAAAAACAACAUUAAUUUUACCUGUGGAUCUAUCUUGGAAAUAAAGUCACCUUUUUUUCUCCAACAUAUUAAAUCUUCAUGCAAAUAUUUUAGUGUAACCAUCAGAAAACUGAGAGCAAAUGUAUCUCCUACACUGAAAAAUGAAGAGCUAACUGGACCAAAUUAUUGUGAAAGUGAACAGCUGGCAGUUUUGGAGCAUUGUGCCCACAUAUCCUAUCUCACGCUUCCUGUACUCAUGGAUCUUCAGUCUAUUUAUUCCAGACAGCUAAGGGCAAAACUCAAACUUGACUCCUACAAAGUGUUUCAGGCAGCUGAACAUGGCUUGCUCAUAUCACAAGGGAACAGAAAAAUGAUGUUUUUCAAGCCUUUCUUGAAAAAAGUCAUUUAGUUUUCUAUUUUAGUCUGAAGUUUAAUCAAAUCAAACUAUAUUAAUGGGGAUAGCUUCACCAAUUCAAAAAUUUAACUUUAAGACAGGUGGUUUUCCUGUCUUGGUUUGAAAAGACUUCCUAUCUGCUAAGGAAGGCAGGAGCCUCUCUUGAAAUGGAAAAUGUAAAUUCCCUCUUUCUGAAUUAUUAUAAUUUUGAAAUUAAAGGCCUCUUAUGCAAAGAUAUGGGAGUAGGAAUAAUGGUUCUAUAUUAGGAAAAUAAUAAUUUUUUAAAAUGCAGCCAUAAAAAACAACACUGUCAGAAAACAACCCGACACCCUGUUGGUCAGGGUGUUGGUAGCAGUCUGAUUAAAUGGUGGCUGCAGUCCUCCUGGAGUGACAGAUGUGGUUCUGUUGAAGGAGUGAUCUGGGAGAAGGGUGUCAUUUUCCUCUGGGGGUCCGGUAGUGGUGUAGAUGGGCCUGAGAAUCCAGUGGGAAAAGGCUGCCUGCGGCAUUCUAUAUCUCAGAUUAUAUCCAGGAUGGAAUGCUUGGCUCCUCCCCCUGGGUGGAGCAUCUCACAGUGGGAUGAUGUAAUUUUAUCAGUCAUGCAGUAAAACACAGUAGCCCAUUAACAGAAGAUAUUUCCCAGAGGGAGGAUGGGCUGUGGAAGAGAUAAAGAAAACUGCCCCACCUGGUUUUAACAGGUGCCCAGUUAACAGCAGAUAACUGCCCCACCUCUAACAGAUAGGAAUAGAAUCCACCCUCCACCACAGCUUGCAUUUACAACCUAAGACAUUUCUUUAGAAGCAUAAUAUCAAAAUAGACACUCUUACUAAAAGAUAUAAAAAUGUAGAACUUUUUCCACAUGCGAUUUUGUUCUAUAGAUCAUACAAUAUAAUUAAAUCAGUCUAAGACAUUAUUAUAUUGUUAGAAAACAUUGUUAGAAGAUUUUUAAAAUUUAAAUCUCUUGCUAAAGCAAUAAUUUGAUGGACAUUUUACCUGGUUGUAAAAUUUGUCAGUGGUAUUUCCAACCAUUUGUUUUUGAUAAAAAUAUCUCCUGAAUGCUAUUAGUCCUACAUAUAAUCUUUCCAUAUCUGCAUAAAUAAAUUAAAUACUGACACAAACAGGUUGGGCUUACAUGUUUUUAGGCCAGGAUUUACAGCUCCAAGACAGGUGGUGACCUCAUCUUGAACUUUGAGAAGCAUAAGUGAGGUAAGAAUCUGCAGGUUAUCCUCCAGGUAGUACUUUUGGUAAAUUAAGACAUGCCAUAGAACAGAAACAGGGGUGAAAUAUGCUAAACCCACAGUAAUUAAAUUGAUAAUUUUCUUUUUCUUAAAAAGCAUCACAUGAAAGGUCUGGUAAAUACCACAAGUACUUAAAGGGUGAUACAGACCUCUCCCUCAGGGAAAUUCUGAUCUUUGGGUACAGCCAGACAAAGUAUUACUACAGGAGUCAUUAAGGAGUUAACUUGUAACACAGUAAAAAUAUACAUGACCUAUACUAAGACCUACUCCAUGGGAAUUUAUAAUGAAAUUUUCUCCUUCACUACCAGAUAGGAGCUCUUCAUUUUGUGAACUGGCAAUUACUGACAUGUUGGUCUUAUGACGUGUGUCUAAAUCAGCUUAGUCUGCAGAGACUCUUCUCUCUGUGCCAAUGCCAGGCACAUAACGGAUGCAGUUUAAGCGCUAAAGAGAGUCACACAGAUGAUAUUUGGGACAGUGAUCUGCCUGCUAUUUAUAUUUCAAACUGAGUCAAACUAAAAGGAUUUCUGAAAGCCUCUUAAGGAAGAUUUAAAGAAAGAAACAAAAUGAAUAGAAGAAACAAACAAAAAGAAUAGGAAAACAAUGCAGAAAGAUGGGAGUUGUUUUACCUGAAUAAUAGUUAUGUGCCACAGUUUACUGAUUUGGUACUACAUUGGACAAAAUAACAAACCUUAAAGAUAAAAAAGGAAAGAAACAGAAACUAUCUUCACUUGGGAGAGUCUCACUUUCCUGAUUCCAGCAAGGAUAGCAUAUUAUUUUGCCUUAGGCCUAUGCCUCAGGGUUUCCAGCAGUACAGACAUGAAAGAAAGAUGCUAACUAACAGGAACUGUAAGUGAAUUUCUAACAAAGCACUAGCAGCUGAACACUGUAGCAAUAGUCUUAUGACCCCACAUCACAUACAGGGUAUGAAUUGUGCUAAACUUAUCAAAAAACAAGCAAGGAAAGGAUACCUGUGAACUGACAUGGCCAAGGACAUCAUAUACUUCUGUAGCCACCACAAUUCUUUUGACUGUCAAAUCUUCCUUCUGACAAAGCUGAACGGUAUACAUGUUCUGGCCAUCAGGUAAAUUGCUUCUGUUUAUCCGAAAAUAAAGUGAUUGGCAGCAGGGCUGAAACCUUAGCACAGCCACUAGCUCAAUUUGUCAGGAGAAAGGAUGUACAGAGAGGCUGUAGGAGAGCAAGAUGUAGAAAACUAUCUUCCCUUGAGAAGGGCAAACUAACUGGGUGUUUAAAUAAUUAACGUGACCAGCUAACUAUAAACUGAGACUUGUUGAAAAAAUACACUAGCUGCCAAUUUGAAGAUAAAGCCAGUGACAUGCAUGUGAUUUCACAACCUGAAGAUUUGUUUUAAAAAUGCUGAAAUAAAUAUUAAAACAGCAUCUCUUGUAAGUGAUUCUUGUAAAGAAUACUGAGAAGAAAAGUAACUUGAUUUACAAGUACGAUUGCUUGAUAUUGUCAAGAAUCGUGAAUGCUGUACCUGCAGAUCUUCACUUCAUCUACACUUCAUAGUAAAUGAGGUUCAUAUGCUGCUAAAUACAUUCCUAUUAAAAGUGGGUAAUAUUUAAUGUAUCUGGAACAUCAUUCUGUUUUUACUUACAUUUUUUUCCUUGAGUAAAUGUAUUUAAUUAUCAUUGUGAAUCAAUUCCUGUGGGACAUAAAAGAGAAAAUGAUACUGAAGUAAGUUACAUUAAUGAGUCAUCAUAGAAAUUUCCUAAAAAUAAAGAUAUCGUAGAGCCAAAAUGCCUUAUCAAUGAGAUAUUGCAAUGGGGUCCUUUGUUGGUUUAAGACUUAUUGAUUCUUCCGUGUUAAUUCAAUUUCUUAAAGAGAUUCAAAUUUCCUCAGCAAACUUCACUUAUUUAUAUGAUGCUUAAAUGUCAUCCACCUACAAGUCACCUUUUUUCCUAAAUCCUUAAGCAAGUGUGAUUUUGAGGUUUUUUUUCACUGCUCUUUUUACAGAAGUGGGCAAUGUGCAUUUAGCAUUAGUGCCACUUAGUCUAAGGUUUGCUGAAGCUCACCUUUUGCCUGCUGAAGUAUACACAAUCUUUAAAGUUCAACUACCAGCUUUUGGAGACUGUUAAAGACUCACCCUGCUUAGCAAAAGUUUUGCUUUACAUCUCGUAUUCUUCACCAUUUUUUCCCCUGACACUCCUAAUGCUGAAUUUCAUGGAAAUAGCUCUGUAUAUCAGUAUUUGAAAUAGAAUUAUAACAGCAGAACCAGUGUUACAGCUUCAGACAGAAAAGAAAUAGGUGGAAAUUCGCUUUUCUCUUUUAAGAAAGAACCAAAAUUGUGCAUAUUGUUCAACCAGUCACUUAGGAAUACACCAUUGAUAUAAAACAAAAUGAAUAAAAUGAAUAAGAUAAAAUAAAAUCAAGACCCAGCCAUUUCACAACAUAUUGCAAAAUUGCAAUAUUUCUACUGAUAGUUUAGGAUUAAAUUUUUGAGCAAUAUCCCCUGUGAACUAAAAAACUGGUUCAGCCACCAAACCAAAUGGUCUGUCUUCCUACAGGUCAGUGCUCUGUGGGCAAUUGUUGUGUUAGAAGGUACAAGAAAUACCAAAGCAUAUGGAGGUUGUUUACUAGACAAAGCAUUGCUUGGUGAGCUCACAUUAGCCUUUCUUUACUGGGCCUACUGCAACAGUGUCACAGCUCCAUAAGACUUGACAAAGUUAAAUAAUCGUGAGAGCUUCAGUUUUCUGCCAAAUUUAGUUGAAACUGGUGGCUUCUACUACAACUACUACUGCUAUUACUAUUAAUACGACUAAUAAUCAUAAUAAAAAGGUUGAGAUUUCUUUUUAGUGUGAGAGAAGGCAUGAAAGACAAAGCAAAGGACUAUAUGCAGUUCUCAAAGGAAAUGUGAUUUAAUUCACCUUUCCUCCAUCUGCCCACCAAUGUCUUAAACUCCAUCCUGAAUGAUAUUACAGUUAAUGUCAGUGAUUUUACAACUAUUAACAGGCAUGAAGAUUACAGCUACUUUCAACUCAUACUGUUUGAUUUCCAUUAGCACAUUAUCAUCACACUGUACCUAACAGAAGGUGUUAAAAUAUUUUUCAGUAAUUCUUCAUAAUUUUGGCCUUUAUCGAACUAAGAAUACAUCUCACAGGUGAAGCAAUGUAUCCAUUUUUCCAUGAAUCCUGCUAAACAUGGUAUUAAUUCUCAGCUGGUAUAAAUAUUGCUCCACUUCAAUGCAAUUAUUUGCAUGUAUGCUUGGCAAGUAAGUGCAGGAGACUUUUCUAUUUAUCUGACUACAUGGUAUGUAUUUUAUCUUCACUCACUCAUAUUAAAAUAUUAUCUAAAAUAUAUAUUUCCAUCUCUCAAACUGUCAUUUUAUUAAUUUUCAUAUAUUAAAAUGCAACCUCAUGUAUAGUGAAUAGGAUUUUUCAGUUUCAGAUUUUUUUUUUUUUGUAGCUUUCCUCUAUUAGAGGAUGUAAAUACCAUGAGGGGCUGCAAUGUCUUUAAUUGUGAAGCACUCUUCACAAGUGGUGAUUUCUGCUGGUAGUACACAACACUCAAAACCCCUUGUCUCGGAUCAAAACUUUCAUUUCUGCCAACAAGUACAGGUCAUAUGUUUAAAUAAGUCAGGAAUGAAAUGAGAUGGGUGUAGAUUAGGAUCUCAGGACUCAAAAGUGGAAGAAGAAAGACUCCUACAAAUGUACUUACCCAGACCUCAAGGAAAAGAGCCACAACAUUUUUGCAAUGUCCUUUGCAGGCAUCAGGGUGGAAAACCAAUAUGUGGACAGAGGGAGAUGCAGUAAGCAGCACCAGGGCAAAGGCCAAAUAGCCCCAUGGAGACAGCAGGCCUGGAGACUUUCUGCUGGAGCUUUUUGUGCAUGGAGAGCUGCUCUGGCCUGGCACAUGCAGGAUGUUGUCACACCUUGUCCAGAAGAAGGGUCUGCAGAUGUUACCAGAUGUGACUGCUGAGGUGGCCCCAGCUGUGAGUCAGGUGACGCCUGAACAAUUCAGCUGAGCAGUUGUACCUUCCCUUGGCCAUGUCAAAAGCUCCAGAAAUGCCUUGCUAAGUGGAAACAGUUUCUGUUAGAAAGAAAAAUUCUCUCAUGGGAAUUGAUAUUAGAAAGGAUUAAGUGUCUCCUUGUACCGCUUCUCACUUUACCACCAAACAUGUUCCCAGACUGGAGGUGAAGGUUUGUCCAGACAUUAAGUGCACUUUGGGUGGAGUUAUAAUGGCCAUACUCUGAUGGUUUCCUCCUGGCUGGAAGGAACAACUGAAGUCACCCAAUAAACAUCAUGUCCCGUUUGUAGGCGUUACAGGUGCGAGUUGGUGCUAGGAAUCCAUGGUGGAGCCAGCAAGACUGAAGCUUUUUGCAGAAAAUGACAUGUUUGUGUAAAGGCUUGAAAGUAAGCCAGGUACACUCUAUGUGAGGCACUAAAUGGAGGGUCAGAUGCAGAAGCUGCGCACAGUCUCAUUAUUGCUCCACUGGGAAUUGCAUAGUCUAGCCAACACUGUGGGGUUUAGUUUAAAAGCUGGCUCCACAACAAAAGUGAUAUUUGAGGAUUCUCGUCUAUAACAGAUCCUAUAUAAAAACUUCAUCAACAAGCCUUCCUCCGAUAUAUUCCUGACAUUCUGCAUUUAAAACUCUAAAUUAAUGUUUCUAAAAUUCAAUAGCAAUGUUUUGGCAAAGAAACAAUGUAAGAAUGGCAAUUAUCCAAAGCUGACCUUCUGCCAUAUGCCCAUGCUGUGCUCUAGGAAGGGUUAGUACUUACUAUACCCAUUAAGAUGAGGGAAGAAAAAAAUAAACUUAAUCUUACAAUUUGAUCUCAAUAUUUCAUUGGGAUAGAGGACAUUUUUGUGCAUCUUUAUUAUCGGUCUUUAAAAAGAAAUUAAAACUCGUUUCUGUAACAAACCAAGAAUGAAAAUACUUCCUGUUGUAUCAUCCUUCUACGAAUGAUAUCAGCAUGAAUUUCUUAGAAGUAGACAGCCUCAGAUAAUAGAGGAAAAAGAGAUAUUUCAUCCUGAGAAUUUCAAACUAAGAUAGCAUGCAGAAUAAAUGAGCAGAAUAUUCUGACACAUUCACAAAAUUCUACCUAGUUUUUAAAAAACAGUCAUAAGUUGAUAUGUAGUUUAUCUUCCCCUAUUUUUUCCAAAGUAAUCUCAAAAGGAAAAAGAAGUUAGAGAUUACCUGCAAAUCAAAUUUCUUUUUUAAAAGGUAAAAUAAAUAUUGCUAAGAGCUUCUGCAUGCAUGCAUCACUCCUGUUUGACCACUGUCUUUUAUGACACACUCUACAAAGAAAUUUUGACCAUCUAUAUUUUCAAGCACAGGAAAAGUACUUAAGUGAUGUAAAGGUCCACAGAUAUAUAGCCAACACAGUGUGUCACUAAACACACACAUUUCUAUUUUGUUCCCUUAAAAGGUAACCUUUCCUCAUUCAGCCAAGGAAGUUUGCAGCACUGUUUUUUCCUCUAUUGAGAUCAAUAAGAUAUAUUAAUUACAACUAGUUUAUGCAUGGUGAGAAGUUCCUGGUGAAAUAUCCUGAAAUAGCCAUGUUUUUCUGUUCCUGUAAUUUUGAUUUUAUUAUAAAAAUUGUUAUAAACCUAUCUAAGCUUAAACAAACCCUAAAUAAAGAAUCAACACUGUCUUCUUGUGUACUCCUUCACUGGAUUGACCUAGAGCUCUCCAUAAAUGAGCUAAGUGAUCAGAAAUGUUUGCUUCUCACAUCACAGAACCAUAAAAUCCUUUUGAUUGGAAAAGACCUCCAAGAUGAUCAAGUGCAAACUUUGAGGAAAAAAUACCAUGUCAACUAAACCAUAGCACCAAGUGCCAUGUCUAGUUGCUUCUCAAACACAUCCAGGAAUGAUGACUCCACUUUCCUGGACAACAUGAAGACAUGAGGACUGCCUCCAGCUCAAAGCCACAACUUUUUGCAGUCACCUUCUGUGGACACCCCAGAAUGGAAGAUCCGAAACUGUGCUCUGACACAGGUUAGAAAUCUUAGGCUGCAGGUUUCUGAGAGUCAGUCUGGCUCUUGGGUCAGCAAAAUGCACAUACUUUAAGAUCCUUCCACAGGUUUAAGGAACUUCUGGACAUAUGUAUGCAAUCCUGCCAAUGCUUUCCUGGCCUCCUGUUGCACAAAGCCAAAAUGGGUCAGCACAAAGCAGACAGGAAACAGCUGUGACAAGAGGCGCGCAUGAGGAUCCAUCAGACAGACAGAGUCCUCCUGGAAAGGAGCACGAACAUCUACCUAUUAGGAUGGAUAUCUCUCCAGAAGAAGUUCUCUUCUCAUUCUGUGCUACAUAAAUAUAAUUUAAAAAAACAAAAUUCAGUAGGAGCAUAAACAUAAGUCGCUGCUCUCAUUUCUGUUGUCAGGAAGAGAAAGAGUUACUAAUUUUUUUUUUUUUUCUUUAGAAAUCCUGAUAGGUUACAGAUUUGGAGAAGAAGUGAAAAAUGGUUUACUAUGAAAGUAAAAUAUCAUUGCAGUACUGCUCUGCCAUCUACACAAUGACAAGAUCAGGACAAAGCUGCAAAUCUAUUCCCAGGUCAAUGCAAAUUCUAAGAGCAAGUAGGAAUCAACAAAAAAAACCUAAAAACCAGUCAUAAUAGGAGGUGUAGGAUGCAUAUGGCUUAAACUACAGCUCUCAAUGAAAACACAAAAGAUUUUAAAGACAUUGUAUUAUCUGAAAUCCUUGCAAUACCUGGCUUUGAAUUUAAAUCCUAGUAAGUACAUUAAGGAUGAUUGUGUACUAGCCAGAAAAAUCAAACUGUUCCUUCUUGGCUCUUGAUGAAUCAUGUAAGUGAUGCAGUAGGACAGAUAGUGUACUAAUGGUCAAUACUUUAUGGAAGGCGGCCUUGAGAUGACAGCAGUGCUCCAUAAUGUGAUACUGUUCAGAAGAUUUUUGGAAAAUACAAGGGGUCUCCAAAAAUAAAAGCUUUACAGUUGGCCCAAGCAGAUAUUUUUAACCUCAUUCCCAAACAGCUGUGAUUCUCAAUCAGUGUCUCACAAAUGCAGAAAUCAAAACAGGAAAAAUAAAAGGAGGAAAUAAUUGCAUACAUGGGGGAAAAUUCAGGUUAAAAUAUGAGGAGAUGACAGUGCAAAUAGACUCAUAUAAUGAAAUCACAUGGGUGCUUUGCAAGUGACUGUCAUGAAUGAUAAAAAAGUUAGGGCUGUUAUGCCUAAAUAUAGCUGGUUUAUCAAAGUAAUAUUUCCACUAUUAAAGACAAUGUAAUAAUAGCAAUUCUAUAUAGUGUAAUAGAGAACAUAACGCCUAUUGUUAAACACUAUAAGACGGUUAACUUACUGCUGACAUUUAUUUGCAUCUGCUUGGGGCUAUUUUGUAUAUCUGAGCAAUGACUUUUUUUUUUAAACAUGUAAUCUGAAAUUUUACAUUAUCAAAUUCAAGCAUAUUUUAUGGAGAUUUCUGCUCACCAACUAGGAUUAGCCUACCAGGGUAAGAAUAUUUCAAAUUGCAUUCAUUCCUUCUGUAAUUAUUUUAAGUGAUUUCUAAUCAGGAUUUGAGGACCCUGCCUAUACUCUUAUUUCUAAUUAUCAACUGAGGUUUGAAGGACUUUAAGUUGACUUAAGUAGCCCUGAUGUAUGCAGCUCACGACUCAUUCAUGCCAGCCCACCAAUUAUUCCAUUGUGAUGAGAGAAGAGAAACCUACCUCCCUCUGAAGAGAGAAAUCGCAAAAAUACACCUUCAAAAUGGCAGGAUAUUGAAAUGUGUAUUAUAUAAUGAGACAUUUUUAGAACAAGCUAAAACAACAAAUAAUUUCCACUAGGUCUGCAAGUCAAUGCAUCCGAUAAAGACAAGUCUCCACUAAUGAGAGAAAUGUUACUGAUUAAAGAAAGAUCGCUUUAAUCUAACUUCCAAAUUAGGCUACCUGGCAGAAUUAAUCUUAAAUUAAAGCUCUCCAGGAGAUGCAUGCUAUCAAUACUGAAUUUGGAAGCCAUGAGACUGUGGAAGUUACAUAUUUCCCAAGAAAAAUCUUAGGCCAUAGUAAAUGUAGACAGAAGAAAAUACUUUUUAAAUCCAACAUAUUUCCCUCUAAUCUGGGCACAGGGAUCUGGAGCCUGUCAGAUGUGCCAGAAGGAUGAGAGCACAGCCUUGCCUUCAGAGCCUCUCCCUGGCCACUGCCAGCCCAGAGAUCCCAGGCCCUUUUCCUGGACACUGCAGGGACACUCUCUCAGUGCUGGCAGGGGUAUCAUGCCUGUCUAGGCAGAGGAUGAACACAGCACUUUCCCCACGAAUCUGAAAGUCAGAGUAUUCAAGAUAUUUAAAAGUAACCCAAAUUUCUUUUGAAGCAACCAUUUGUACACAAUUCAGCAAAUAAAUUUCCAAGGUGUUUUUUUAUUUUUCCAUGCUCCAAAUAUACUUUUAAAGUUAUGCAUUUUAUCACGCAAUGUUUAAUCCAGCUAGAAAUUCUUGAGUUUGGGGGUAAACAUGAUAAAAUCUGUGGAACUGAUUCAAAGUCAUUACAAAAAUUGAAUGAUCUUGACUUUCCUUUCUCCUCAUUCUGUAACAAGCUGAAUUAGAAAGUCCAUAUAAAGAAGAGAAUGGUUCCAGGACUUGUCUCCUUGUCUGUGAGUGAUUAAUAUAUAAAGUUAGAUUAAAAACAUUUUUUUUCUGGCAGGUGAAAACAGAGAUACCAGGACCAAAUUAAUCUCCAGUGACAAUUCAUUAGGCUCAUUACCAUUAUACUAGGACAGCUUCUAACAUUGUUUCAAAAACAAGACAGAGCAGAAAUCUCUCUGCUUUUCACUGAAUGAAUAUUGAACAGGUACUUCUGUCUUCAUUUACCUAGAUUCUUUUAAAGGAAGUUAUUUGAAAAGCUAUGAGACAUUUUCUGUUUAUGCAGACAAUGAAAGCUUUUAUCCUCACUUACCUGGGUCUCCUAAGCUAGGAAAUUAGUCAGCUAUGUUCUGAUAAAAUAGUAUAUUUUAAACUAAUUAUGCUGAACGAUCCAGCAAAGUGUCUCUGAAUAGGAGAGAAAAGCAUUAUUCUCAUUUAAUAUGGUAAUGAACAGAAAAAUAAUUUACUGUCAUCUGCUGCAGGAAGCCACUGGGAUACCCCUACUCUGCAGCACAUGACAUUGGGGAUCAGGACAUUUGGCUUAUUUUUCAAGUUCUUUGAAGAAACUCUUUUCAUAUCCUGAUCAGAUAAAACUGUCUGCUUGAGUUGAUACAAAGCUUAACUAAUAAGAACCUUAUUUUAAUAACCCAGUUGCCUUUGAGCAAGCACAAAACAUUUAAAAAUGUGGCUUGGGUGCUUGUCACUGCUUUAAAAUUAAAAAAUCUUGCCUAUCAAUGUGACUGUGAGUUAUGCAUUUUCCCACUGGUUUGGCUCAGUUUUUGUUUGAGAUGAUGGGAAGACAGGAGCUCUAAUAAUAGUCUCAGUGAAAUUCCCAUCCCAGUGUCUUAAAUGGACACACCACGCUGAGCCAACAAAACUCCAUUAUUCCCAGCAGCACCCAGAGCAGGGGCUCUUUUCAGCCAUAACAGAAAAACAUCCUCACUUAUUCUGUGCUGUCAUGUAGGGUGAACACGGGGUUUUAUUUUCUUUUAAGCAAACAAUUCAAUAGUGCAAAGAAAUUGAUAGCGCCUUCAAGUCUCACUUGGUAUAAGCUACCCUUCAUCAUCUAGAUACUCUCCUAAUGCACUAAGAAUUACGCAGUUUAAGUUCAUCUGCAGUUGGGAAUUAGUAAUAAAAGUCUAUUUUAGACUUAUAGCAUGAAACUGUAAAACUAGACAACUAUAAUGAAACUAUACCCCCAUGGCAGGGCAUUUGGAAUUAGAUGAUCCUUAAGGUCCCUUCUAAACCAAGUAAUUCCAUAAUUCUAUUGCGUGUUACAAUUAUACUCUCAGCUGUUCACUGCCACUUUCUGAGGAAUUCUCUUAAUUGACAGAUGAACAUUUAGGGGGAUUAUAUUUGCAAAAAACAGUUGACAUUCCCAUCGAUUCUUAUCUGUUAUGAAGCAUAGAGUAUUACCUAUAAAUUCCUCCUAUUCCUACAUAUAGAUGCAAUUAUUAGGAAAUGUCUCUAGAGAUUAUUACAGCCUCUUAAUUUAAAAUGGGUCUUCUUUGAUGUUAUGAGUAGUCAGGGAAGGCAUAGACCUGAGUUCUGUCUGAGAAGGGACUUCUGCUAGUCCCAGGGUCAACACUGGUGAAAUUCUUUUACUAAUUUCAAGAGUCAUCACACAGACGACUACUCACACAAGUUACAAAACAAAAAUCUAAUGUGCCAAAGGAGAGACAGUAAAGAGAAACUUUUUACUGUCUUGUCCUUUUAAAGAAUAUUUUGCAUGUUUAGAAUAUGCCAGAAAAGUUAAAAUUUCAGAAUUCCCUUAGUGAAAAUGAUGUUAUACAAGUAUUCAUGCCAAUAUAAUAUAUUAGCUCUGUGAAGCACAGCAAGAACAGGACAAAGAAUCACUGCAGUGAUUUUCACAACAUGAUUAAGAACAUAAUAAUAUUCUAUCAGAAUGGUUACCUUGAUAAAACUUACCUAGCUUGAAAACUAAAGGACAUCUGAAACAAAAAUAAUUGUUACACUAAUUUUUGUGGUGUUGUCGAGCUACAGUAGGACAAUUCAAGAGUCCUAAGGAUAAAAUAGGGGAUCAAAAUUCAAUAGACAAUGUGGUUGUGUUUGUUAUGCCAAUCUUUUUGGCAUAGUCAAUUUUCGUAUUGCCUCCACACUAGAUUUUAAUUUUAAAACCUAUUUCCUUGCUAAGUAAUGGAUAUUUCCCCCUCUUUUCUGAUAACUGGUCAAAGCUGUGUUCUUAUUUAUAUACAGGUGCUCCAUUGGCCUCCUGGGAAAGAGAGGGAGGCAGCAACCAAACUUAUUUUCCUACUUAACUUCUAAAAGUAUUGAACAUUUUAAUGUUCAUGUCAUUAUAAAGCAAUAAAAAAGUGCCUCUUAGAACUAAAAAAGAGAAAUGAACUUUCAAACUGCUCCAAAUUAUGUUAGUGUAGAAUAUACAAUUUUAUAAGCAACUACAUCAGCUGCAGAGAGUAAAUUUUGAUCCUUUUUAGUUCAGUCUGUAAUUAGAAGAAGCAGUUUUCAUUGUUGUUGUUGCUGGUGGUGGUUUGUUUGCUUGUUUUCCUCUCUGGUCUCACUCAGCUGAACAAUUCCCCUUAGCAGUGAGCUGAACCUCUCUGAGGCCACACCAUCCACCAACUUACUGAAUCUGAGAUACAGCAAGGUGAAUUUACUGCAUGAGGCUCUGUUUAAUUUCUCCUGUCUUUCAGCUCAGAGGGACACUUGAAUUCAAUUAGUAUUCUAUAGAAGGAAGCUUGUUUAGAGCCCUUCCAGUAGUGUUCCCUUAUCAAUGAAAGGGACCCCAAAGAUAACUGGCUUCCAUUCAGAAAUCAAGUUCUUAAGAAAAUGUCAUAUAUUUUCAAAAUCUUGUGCAUAUGUGUGUGUGUGUAUGUAUCAGUUUCUAAUGCUGUGGCCAGGAAUUGGAGGAGAAAGACACAAAUUAUUCCAUUUCUUAGUCUGAAUAUGUAUUCCCAUUUUCAGCUAUUUGAAAGACAAAAAAUGACCCAUGAUUUUUAUAAUCAUUAUUUUUUUCCAAAGUUCUGCAAAAUUUCCAAUCUGAAUAAGAUGCUCUUUCCUCCAGCACACCAGACUAUAAAUGGUUUUUGAGCACCACUUUCUUUGAUGUAAGAAUUUUAAUAUCUUUGUAUCCACUUACUAAUCCUCAGUAUUUGUAUUUCACCACAGUACUCCUUAUUGUCACAGUCAGACCUCACUUUAAGCACUGCCCAGUACUUUCACAUGCUCUUAAAAGAUACAUCCACAACAUCAGUAAAACAUCUCUUAACAGCUGCCUAAUUGCAGUCCUAAGACUCCUGUCAUGAUCAACAGCCUUGUCUUUUAAAGUUAUAAACAGGGUCUCUGGGAAAAUUCAGAAAGUAACUAGUCCAGAGAAACUUCCUCAGUCACAAGGAUAGUCAUAGCUAGAUACACAGCUAGAAGGAAUUUCCACACACUGAAGAAUUGAGCUAGGGAAAAGGCAGUGCCCAUGUUUAUAUUAACUAUCCUGUGGUGCUGUACAUUUAAAAAUCCAAUCAUGAACUUUGCCUUGAUCAUGUAAUUAAACACAAGAAUUCAUGUGUGUUCUCUAUUAUGAGUCAAUAAUACAAACAACACAAACCCAAAACAUGUAAAAGCUAUGUGAAGAUUAAAGCUGAAAAAUAGUAGAGAAAGGUAAAAUAGAUAUAUUGUGGAAAAAUAAUACAGCUCCAGCUUAUCUGUACAAGUCCUAGCAGUUUUCCUUUUAAUGCCAAAUCCUUCUGGGUGAUCAGCAGCAGAAAUGUAGCGAAACUCUUCUCCUCUAAGAAUUUUCUAUUCUUUACACUGUUUUAUUUCUCCCCACUCCAAAUCUUACAGGUCUGCCUUAAUAUUCAUCUGUAUUUAUUGAUACAGGCUCUGUUAAAUGUUUCCAUUUAUUUAAUUGGUUUGGUGGUUUCAACACUGGUUAACUCAAGUCCCAGCUGCCAUUAAUCUUCCCUCCUGACCAUGACAAAGCUCUCAUAGAUUUUUUUCCCACAAACACAAGUGGCAGAUCAUUUUUCAAAUUCAUUUCAUGUUACCUUGUACAGGAGAAACUUCUUAUUCCCUUGACCAAGGGUGGCACUUGUUAAACACCAGGACAGCAUUUAAGGAGCGACUGCUUCAGGUUUUGUUGGAUCAGGUAGCCUCCAAAAUACCUCUGUAUAGAGCAGUCUGAACUAGAAUUCCAAAGAGAAUACCAUUUUGGGACAAUUGCAGAAGUGUGUUUCUCUCUUGCAUAGAUUUCUUUGUUAUCAGCUGCAAUAUUAAAGUAAGUUUGCAGACGGUUUAUAGAUGUUUUUCUCCUAGAUUGAAAAGAACAUGUGAGCUGAUCAAAGCCACACAAUAGACAAUUUCAAAAGGAGUUCUCAGACAGUCAGUUGAAUUCCCUGAUAAACAUGAUUUUGCAAUAACAAUACUAAAUGAUGUUUUAAGUCCUGCAGAAGCGAGUGGUAUCAUCCAUAGUAAACACAUUUUUGGCUGGUCCAUUCAGGGGGAACUCUUUCCUGUCCUCCCUUCCAGCUUCAGGAAGCUAAAGAAAAGUCAGAGGAGAUAUAUGUAUUGGUCUACAUAUGGUAGACCAAUACAAAUUUCUCUCUAUGGUAGAGAGAAAUUUGAAGACAAAGGUUGGACAACUGUGUGCCAUGGGACGAAGGAAUAAUGAAAGACACAAGACAGCUUUUGUUGAAGGCUGUGGAGACCUUCUAGAAUAGAAAAUGAUAUUACUGCUUCAUGAGGUUAAUCUUUGUUACACUGCUUUUGUAUAGACAAGUUUUAUGCUGCUGUAAGAAGACAGAAGACAACAAUGGAGAUGUGGUUAGGACAAUUAGACUCAUGAUCUGUCAUCAGCCAAGUAGUACGUACCUAGUCCUAAUAGGCAGGGUGUUUCUUCUUUAGUAAAGAAGAAGAAUAAAUGGGCUGUGUCCAUUAAAUUAAAGUGAUCAAAUCUCCUGCUUUUCUUGUCAAGUUGUAGAACACUGUUUUCUCCACAAUACCACAUCCCUCUACAUGAUUACCAGCAGAAGGCAUUGUGUCUUUAGCUGUCAUUAGCUAAGUAGGGUUGAAAAAUGAAAUUUGAAUACUUCCUUAAAGCUACGAGCACCUGAAAACAGCAUCAGAAUGAUAAAUGUUUCCAAAACUUAACUGGAGUAGGCAUUACACACAUUUCUGCAGUUAAGAAAUACAUUAUUUCUAGAGCAGGUAAUCAAAAAAUUAUGUCAAAAUUCACAAUGCUAAAAAAAUUAUUUUUUGCCAAGAUUAUCCCUUGCUAGUUAUCCUGCUCAAACAGCAACACUUUUUUUCCUUCAGGCAGCUCUAGGCACAUCAGGAGGACUGAGAACAGUUCAUGUAUCAGCAGUCCUGCCAACUGGACCAAAACCUGAAUGUUCUGAGUUUACAGAGGAAAAAAGGGUCCAGACACAUGAUACAGAGAGACUGCAACUGAAAGAGUUCUGCAACUGAAGAUGGACAGAAAGGGAAAGGGAAAAAAAUCCCAAUCAUACAAACUGAGAUGCUCUCAAUUUCACUGCUAAACUCCAAAGACAAUAAGUAGGCAGGGGCUAAUUUUGGGAAGGCUGAUUCUCUCUGACUAACUUGGCACUAUAUUGGGAGUUGGGCAAUGCAUGUUAGCCGAAGGAAGAUUUUUCUAUGUGGGAUGUUUGGUGCCCUGGGAAGAAAAUGCAUUUGAUUUCAGAAGGUAAACAUUUUCCCUUUUCCUUCCUCCCCAUCAUCUAGCGUUUAGAAGUUAAUUGGUAAGCUUUCUGCUAAGUGUUAUGUUGCCUACACUGAUCAAAAGUUUUUCCACUCCUAUUGAUACAACAAUUUUAUUAAAGACUGGACACUUUUCUUCUCUUUACUGGUCAGAUAGUAUCUCCAUAAUCCCUAGUACCAUCUGUAUUGUACACAGUUGUGCUGAUGGUAGCAGGGCUGACUGCCUUUCUGCAUCACAUGCCUUUUGAUCACAUAACACAGCAACUUCAAAUGUGAUUCUGGGAGAAAGGGAGAGAGACACAGUCCAAAUGAAAAUGAAUUUAUCCUGUCCAAGUCCAGUCUUUCCCUGAGGCAGAGCAGCAGGAUAACACAGAGAAAAGCUAACUCCCUUUUCCAGAACCACACAAAGCACAAAUAGAAAAAGCCCUAUGAAGUCAUAUGGUCCUCUGACUUAUCACUAUAGGAUUGUCCUUUACAUUAUAUUGUAUGCUACAGUUUUAACUUACACAACUAUUGAAACAGCCAACAUUUCCCUUAGGCAUAUGUUCCAAAAACUACUAGGUUGCAUUCUGAGGAAAUAAAGGGAUAAUAAUUGCAAAAGCUUGCCAUCUGUCAGAUUAUAAGUAAUAUAUAUAAAAAAAAAUGCAAAAUUAUAUUAACAGAUCACAACGUCUAGCACUCAAAAUUUUGGAAAUGAAGAAAUUAAUGCUAUAGUACUCAAUAUCAUGCACAUUUACAAGAUGAUAUAUUGCCCAAUUUAACUGUUACAUACUCUUUUUUUUCCCCCCCCAUCUCACUUAAUGAACUGACUGCGACUAUUUUCCCUCUCCUCAUUUUUAGAUUUUGGAUUCAGGUACUACACAUAAAACAAACCCUUCUGAAGUUUAAUCUCCUUAAAGGUUUUUAUCUGGUGCUCUUCAAAAUACAGUUUGGAUGUUUAACACACACUGUGUACAGGGCAGCCUUGGGCAUUGUCAGGAGUGGUGUUAAUUCCCUCUGACAGCCAGAGAGCCCAGGCGUGCAGCCCACACAAUGUUUGGGUGCUCAGUCUGAACCCCAGAGCCUAAAUGUUCAAAAUAGUCAGACUUAUGCACUAUAUCCACCCCAGUGUAGCUGCUAUUGCAUCAGUUAUAGUGAAGUUCAUAUGGUACUCCUGGAAAUCAAAGCACAUGUCCUAGGUCAGACUCUGGAGGACAAGGGAUGAAAGCACUAUCAGUGCAAAGCAAAGUACUGGUUUAAAGCUGGAUAGACCAACACCCAGACUCCAUAUACUGGACCCUCUCCUUUUGUAGGUUUCUAUAGCCUCAUGUUCUCUGCCCAUUAUCUAAGAGAAGAAUUCACAGACUUGCUUAUUCACCAACCCCCAGUGGAACCUAUUUCCCAUUGCUUGACAGAAAAUGUGACAUAGACAUGUGUUUGUUGAACCAGAGAAGCAGAAACAGCUUCAGACUUAACAGGUGAGCAUUCAUGGACACGUACUUAUGGGUAGUAGGUGCAAAACCUAGGGAACAAGUUCUGAUGCUGCUUCAACUGGAUGUUUUAACUGUUUUAGUCAGAAUGGAGAAGAGUCAGCAGAAAUAACUGGGUUUUUUUAUGCCAAAGAGUGCCAUUUAAUGCAGUCAGUACAGCUUCUGGUUUAAUAAUUUCAGCUGUUUCCCACAUAUAAGGGGAUAUUCUAGACACCAGUGUAGAACACAUUUUUGAUACAUGUAUUUAUAUACUGUAGUAUGUUGUAACACAUGAGCUUUUAUUUAACCCUAAUGUAUAACUGGAGUCAGUGAUAUUGGUAUGAACUGAGCCCUUCCUGGGUCUCUGGUCAGGUGCAAUCACACCUAAAGCAGAUCAAGCUGCUCAGUCCUCAUUAUAAUUGUGUCUAAAUUGAGAAAACUGACACAGGUGACAUCUGUUGCAAAUUCAUUGACACCUGGCCUUUAUUGGAAACAAUAGCAUACUAUUGUAUGUAAGAGACCCUGGAUCUCAGGUUCAGUGCCAAGCUCUGUAGAAAAGUGUGCUUUACUGGAAAUAGGCUUCGAUUUUUUGUUCUCCACAUUCUCCAAACUUGAUUCAGUGUGCCCAUGCUCCUCAAAUUCCUCUUCUGUACACCUGGUUGCUCCUAAGACACAGCCUCUGACUUCAUUAGUCCCAGAAAAGUAUUCUAAUGUCUCAUCCUACUCCCAGUUUAUUUGCAUAACCAUCCCUCCUCUACUUUUCUGCACUGCUGCCCACUCACUGCUGCAUUGCCUUCUCUCUCACCCAGUAGUCUUGUUAACUAGUCUCAUUUUCCCUUCCUGGUAGCUUAAUUGUCUUUUUCUUGUCUCACUAGGUAUUCAGUUGUCUUUUAAACUCUGAAUCUUUUCCAGGUACCUGCCCACUACUACUGCCUAAGAAGUUGCUGCUGUCCUGCUAGCACUGGAUCUUCUUUUCAGACUAAUUUCUACUUUUUUUUUUUUUUUUUUCCAAAUUUCACCACUUUCUACACCACUGUGCAAGCUGCUUGAGAGAUCAAGAGCACUGGCUACUCUCAAAGGUUCCUGGUUUAAAUAUUUUCUUGCCCAAAAACAUUUAAAAGUCUGUGACAGAAGCUCUAUGCCAAAUUCCCAAUUUUGUCCCCGAGUCCAACUCACAAUCUAACUUUCUCAGUUUGUUUGCCAUGCAUCUUUCCAGCGUCUUUGCCUCAGCUCUGCCUUGUUCCCUGUGCAUAUCUGGUUAGCUUUUUGCAAACUGCUGGAUCAAGGCACACAGCUCAUCCAGUGUGGGGGUGUACACCAUGUACAGUCACAGAAGCACAGAACUGCAAUGGCAGGAAGAUAUCUCCUUCCACUCCACAUUCAGAGAAAAUGACAUUUUCAAGGCAUUUAUAUUCUGGAAUUUCAAAAUGUGUGAUCUGUCUACAUUGACUUAUCAAGUAUGUGUGGGUUUUCAUGUAUAAAGAAGUUGCUCCUUACUAAAUGUAAAAUUUGUCCCCAAGCCAAGAAUUACUGGAGUUUCUAGGCAAAAAGAUAGUUCUGACAAUGUAUAUUCCCUCCAAUCUUUCUCUACCCCGAUCUCCCUCUUUAAAAAAGGAAAGUUAGUGGCUUAUAAGAGCCUUAAACAUUCUUCUUAGCAUUCUUCCAAAUUCAUAUACAGUACAAAAAAAUAAGUUACAGGGGAAAAAAUUCCAACAAUCUGCUGAUGGCUUUCCAGAGAGAACAAUAAUCUGACGAUUGUAUUUUGAAGAUCAGACUAGAGAACCAGAUAUAAGAAAAUCCUCCACUAACAUGCCUCCGGAGUAACCUGUCAUCAGUUCAAUGGACCAGCUGGUAGCUUGGCUGUACAAUGAAUGCCCAAUACAAUGGAACCCAAUCCAAAGCACUAAUGCUGGAAAAGUAAAAAACCAAGUAGUUACUGUCUUUGAUUUGUUCUACCCCAUUCAUAUAAAUUUAGCACUCAGUGGAAAAUAGUUCUAGUUCAACAGAAUCGCCUGUGUGCUGUAGGUGUAUGUGUGGUAUCUUACACCACAGACAUGUUUAUCUAGCAUUGUUCCUAACCCUGUAAGGUAUAUAAGAGGCUAUUUUAAAACAGUAAUUUUAUUUCCCUUGUUACUGGUUUUUUCAUAAGUUUUAAUUAAGUAUAACAAGAAAAAUGGCAGUUGGAUUAAAUAACAUGCUGUGAGAGUAAAACUACCCAGUAGUCAAAAAUAAAUAAUAAUGUAAACCCAAAAAUGCUAAUGGCACACUAUGAGUGCAGCGAUCAGCUGAUUAGCCAUUUAAUUUCUCAUUUGAAAUCAAAUUUGCAUACCUAACUUAUCAAUUCAGAUGUGACAGUAACAUUAAAAUUAAAUAUGUGUUUCAGUAUUUCAGUAAACGACAGACAUUGGUUAAAUAGCAAUAAUACUACCCUUUGUGACAAACAUGUAGAGCACAUUGCCUAAUUAAUUUCAUUUUCAAAUGAACAAAGUGACUAUGAAUGCCUUGUUUCCCUACAAAUAUGCCUGGAAGGGUUUGUUGCUAACUCUGGAGACUGAAAGACAGCGGAUGCAAAAAAUAAGCACCAUUUAUAAUGUCAAGACCCAACCUCUGAAGCAGAAGGGUACUGUUCAUACAUCAGCUCCUCGGACAAGAUACUUGCCUGGAAUGUUAAUUCACAGAGGAUAGAGAAAACACAAAGAAGAACCUGACAGAUUGGAAUUCUAUCUGCUGCUGCACAUUUGGCAUGGUGGAAACACAGCCUAAAGAGAUGAAGAAACAAACCAUAGUGCAAGCUGUGUGGCAAAACCUGCAUGCAGAAAUUGCAAAACUAUGAAGACUGUUAUAUAAGACUGUGGAUUACCACAUGAUUAUUUUUGCUUACAGUAUAUACAUAUAUAUGUAGUACCCAGAUACAUGCAAGGGUGGACAAAAUGUUCUUUGCCCUGUAAUGUUUAAGGUUUUUAGUCAGUUCUGUUUCUACUUAUCAUAGUUAUUUGUCCCAUCUGCAUAGCAAUGUUCUGUGUGUCAAUUUGUGAAAAUUAUAGGAGAUCACCACCUACGUAAAUAAGUAUAUAAAGGGAAACAUUUAUGGACUGAAAAAAAAAAAGAGAUUGAAAUGCUGCAUUAGUUUUCUCUUUAUUCCUUACUGAGUUUCAUAUACCUAUUUUCCAAGAAUUUAAUGUCUUUCAGCGCAGAGCACUCUCUGUGUACUGUCAAUCUCACAAGCAACCUGCAGUUUCAGAGACAAAGUUUUUUAUAAGCUUAUUUCCUUUCAUUUCUUAGGUUCAUAUGAAAACCCAACAGCAUUUCUAUCUGUCAAACAUUGCCAUGCCAUAAAAAUUGGUCUGGUGGGUGUGGGCAUUAAAGUGCUUCAAUUUUCUAGCACUUAUUUAUCUCAAAAUUAUCUAUUUGCAGGAAAAGAGAAAACCUGGCUUUGCAGAGGUUUGGAGGAUUAAAGGAAACAUUUAAGAAAAGAAAGUGAGCCUGCUCAAAGCAUGCAGAGUACCCUGCCUUCUGUGCUCUGCACCAGCCUACUCUUAAUAGUAGACCUCUGCUUUUGGCAUCAAUUAGGAGGAUAAUUUCAUGAAGAAAAGUGCUGUCAGGAAACUGUAAGACUACUGUUCUUUGAACAGGUGUUGCUCUUGGAAGGUAUUACAGGACACAGUUUGAUCUUCUUGACUACCUAUCUGAACAAGAUGUAGUGGAAAGAAUUCAUACUCUGACCAUCAGCUCCUCACCUAACAGUUCUGAAGGGAACUAAUUGGUAAGUCUAAAGAGUAUAGGGACAGAAAGGAGUUGGUGGCACAUAUUUCAUCACAAAAGAGAGUUAAAUCUGGCAGCUAGUCUCUCAUUUCUUUGAAGGGUAAAGGGAAAAAAAAAAAACUUUGUUUUUCAGGAAUAUUCAAAUUGGAAAGUCUGUGGACACUGGUACUUUUGUUAAACCAAAAUCCAGCGAGUGAAUUCAAACUCUCAGCCAGAUGAAAAGUCUCAGUUUCCAGUUUUUACUGGCUUAAUAUGCAACCAACUUAUCACCAUGUCAUAAAAGAACUGUGGUUAUUUCUGUGCCAUGCUACCCCUCCAAAGCUAAGCCACCAGAAAUUGCUGAGGAGUCGCUCCAUUCAUCUUCUCUCCAGCAGCCCUAAUGGCACUUCUGGAGCAGGCAGACAGCAUGAGUGACAGCAGCCCUGAAGCUACUUUAAUGUAUUUCACAGACACAGGUUACCAUUUGUUACCUGAGGUUCAGGGAUAUGCUUCAGUGUCUUAAUGCCUCCUUCUAGUUCAAACUUGCUUUAAGCACUAUUCUGCUAUCCCAGAGAAACAAGGCCAAACUGCGAACUAUUAGUUACUGCCUGGGGUAGGAGCUAGCCACAGGCAGUGCAGAAUGAAAGCCUUGGUCUUGAGAUUAUUUGUAACACACUGUACUCAAUUGAUUUUUUGCACCAAAGAGGGCCCUCCAUUUGUUAACUAAACUUUUGCUGUAUAUAUCUGCCAAUGCUACUUUUUUUUUUUAAUAAAUAAAAAGCCCUUGAUGGAUUUGUAUACAAAAUCUGAGAUAAUUCUAUCCAUGGAAACCGUAUUACUUGCAAUGACAAAAAAAUACACCUAAAUAUUUUUUAGUAAUAUCAGGUAGCAUGACCAUUCCGAAUCAAUGCUAACAGAGGGUGGUACAGAGUGAUUAACAUAACUGUUGGUGAAUCCUCACAACAAACAGAGAUAGAAACCAGCAUCCAGAAGGUGAUUGAUUUCUCCAAGAUACUGUAAUGAAUCAAUAUAAUUGCUUCUGUUAGGUUUCUGGGUUGCUGGUACCCAGGCCUAGAACUGAGAAACAGAGCCACACUGCAGUCAUUACUUUUUGUUCCACAGCAAGAUCAGAAGUGUUGAAGUAAACUUGUGUUGAAGCAUAAUUUCUUGGUGUAUCAACUGAGAAACAGAGGACAGCUACAUCCUUUAAGAAUGCUGAGGAUCUUCAGAUGUCCGAGGACAGCCACAUUUGUAAUAUUUAAGAUCAAAGUCAUAGCACUAUCAAACCUCUUUUUUAUUUGUUUAUUCAUUUUAUAUCUCCAUUAAACAACUUUGUUAAACCAAAAUCCAGCUAUUAUCCAAAUCCAGCUAGUAUCCACAACAACCAAUUUUUUUUGGCCACUUAUUUUAUACUUAUAAGUCUCCAUGACCACAAGAUGCAUGUGUUGCUAUAUCCUCUUCUAACACUAUUGCCUUUUAUUUUGACAGCACACACCUGGCUGCUCAUUUUUAAAUUUUUCCUGGGGUUUUGGCAACUCUUCUCUGUCUUGUGUCAACACCUGUUGUUGCUGAUACCUCACUGAUCACGAGUCAGAACAGAGGGAGAGGCUCAGAGGAGGGUCUCAGUGCAAGUGGUCAGUGUAGCAUUGCUUAAGCAAUCUCACAGUACUGACUGAAAUUACUUGGAAAGUUAUUUCCAUGAUUUUUUUUUGCAAUGUAACUACAUCUGCUGCAGACUCACAGGAAAAGGAAGCAGCUCAGGAGAUAAUGCUGAUGGAUUAGUGGAAUGAGAAGCUUGUUCCAAAGGCAGCUUUGCUGCUGAUCCUGUUUGUCUCACUUGAAUGAAAAGGAGGUGGGAAAACAUUAUCCUUCAUCACAGCUGCUACAGGUGGGCAAAUCAUGCUCUAGGUUUGGGGGUUGUAAUAAGCUUGUCCCUAAUCAAAUUUCACUAUAAUUCUUUCAUCAUUACUAGUAUACUUUUCAGUUUCUGUUUCUUCCUUUUGCCUAAUCCUUUUUUUUUUUUUUUUUUGCAUUUAUGUCUAGUUCAGUCCCAGCUCCUUUUUCUCUUUUGCAGCUAUUCUCCUCAUCAUUUGAAUGACCUGUCAAAUGCAACACUACAGGAAAGAUGAAGAGCCAAAAUGGGAGAGAACUGCAGCUCUCCCCAUGCCUGCAGCACUCUGCCACUUCCAGGGUUGGUGGCAGUGCCUACAGUAACUGCUUUCCUCCACUUGCUUGUGACUCAUGAUUUCUUUUGCAUAACCACAAUAAGCAACACCCACAUGGAGCCAUCAGUCAGUUCAGCAAUGGCCGCAGAAAAGUUUGUUUAUUUCUAAGGAAAUACUACACUUUUGGAAAAAAAAAAGAAAACCAAAACAACACCAAAACCCCAGACCACUACCUGAAAAAGACUUAAUAAUUCUGUUUUCAAGGACUAUUUAUAUUAAUAUUUCAGAGAAAUUCUCUUGCAUAGCCUAUUGAGGAGUUUGCAAAACAAUUUGAUUUUAAGGAAUUACUGAAAUUUUAUAGAUUUUAGGGAGUCAAGUUCAUUGUAACCUGAUUUAUUGUGUCUGAUUUAGAAAGAAUAAAAGAAGAUUGAAUGUCACAACAGCUAAAUAACUGACAUCUCCUCUAUGCCAAACCUUCUACUGUCUUCCCUAGCAUAUAGUGCUUGAACUACUUCAAAUGAAAUCCAAAUAAAUUCAUAAAAAUAUAAAUACUUGAGGAACUCUGAGAAAUAUAGAUAAAAAUUACCAAGACAACCACACAUGCCUUGCAGUCCAGCUUCAAAAUAAACCAACCAUGAUUGCUGGUUUGAAUACUCAUGUCUAGGUCUUUUGGUUUUUUUACUUUAGGACAUAUUUAAAAAUGCAACUCUACUGCAUAAAGACUAUGAACUCUCAGUGACCAAACUAUUGUCUUUUGGAACUGGAGGCAAUUUUUUUUCACUCUUUACUGAAGUCUCAUAUAUGGAAGCUAAGUUUAGAUCACAGUUUUGUGAACACUUUGCUGUAUGCUUUUGAAAUAAGCACAGUGAAUAUAGCAGAACUUUAUCUUCAGGAGUAGCUCAGAGACAUGGGGAAAAGUUAGCAUAUUUCAUCCUUCACCCAUCACUUCAUUUUAAGACAGUUAAUAUACAGUCAAAGUGACAAGCUUUUAAGAAAUUAGAAUUUCUAAUUAUUUUUUUGCUGUUUUGCUUUAGCUUCUAAGCAACUUCAUGCAGAGAUGGGCAAUUGCAUGAUAAAGUACCUAAAUACAACACAGACAGCAUGCAUCACUCCACCUGUUUUUGAAAAUAAAAUCAAUUUUCUUUUCUAUUUUUUUUUAAAUAA